rnacentral:tRNA from 1 species
ACCUCUGUAGCUCAGUUGGUUAGAGCGCUGCACCGGAAUCACAGGGCUGCAGGUUCAAUUCCUGCCAGAAUGUA